rnacentral:rRNA from 1 species
UUUGGUUGCAUGAUCGGGCAAGGAAAUAUUUAUAGCUGUAAGAUAGGCAUGCGUCCCAUUAGCUUGUUGGUGAGGUAACGGCUCACCAAGGCAACGAUGGGUAGGGGAACUGAGAGGUUUAUCCCCCACACUGGUACUGAGACACGGACCAGACUCCUACGGGAGGCAGCAGUGAGGAAUAUUGGUCAAUGGGCGAGAGCCUGAACCAGCCAAGUCGCGUGAAGGAAGACUGUCCUAAGGAUUGUAAACUUCUUUUAUACGGGAAUAACGGGCGAUACGUGUAUUGCUGUGAAUGUACCGUAAGAAUAA